GUGGGGAAUAUUGGACAAUGGGGGCAACCCUGAUCCAGCCAUGCCGCGUGAGUGAUGAAGGCCUUCGGGUUGUAAAGCUCUUUUGGCGGGGACGAUGAUGACGGUACCCGCAGAAUAAGCCCCGGCUAACUUCGUGCCAGCAGCCGCGGUAAGACGAAGGGGGCUAGCGUUGUUCGGAAUUACUGGGCGUAAAGCGAGUGUAGGUGGUUGUUCAAGUUGGAUGUGAAAGCCUUGAGCUCAACUCAAGAAAUGCAUUCAGGACUGAGCGACUAGAGGACCGGAGAGGAUAGUGGAAUUCCCAGUGUAGUGGUGAAAUACGUAGAGAUUGGGAAGAACACCAGUGGCGAAGGCGGCUAUCUGGACGGUUUCUGACACUAAGACUCGAAAGCGUGGGGAGCAAACAGGAUUAGAAACCCGUGUAGUCC
rnacentral:rRNA from 1 species